AUGGAGGCGAAGAAGAGGGCGGCCACCAUUGCCGCCCUUUGCAUGCUCCUCAUCAUGUCAGUGCCAUCCCAGCAGCGGGUGUCCACCAUGUCCUUCUGCAGCUGUUACCAGCAGUGCUACCCCGGGUGCAGGCAUAGCACCCCUUGGUGGCUCUGCAACGUCAACUGUGCUGGCAACUGCGACGUUGGCGACAGGGAGGACUCCCUUGCCGCGUGCAUCAUGGUCUGCAGCACGGAUUCCGUCUGCGGCCCGGUGGUGGCACCAGCCUAUGCACAAGGUGUUGCGGAUUGUAUAGCUGAGUGCAACAAGAGGUGGGGGCAAUAA
rnacentral:rRNA from 1 species